rnacentral:rRNA from 1 species
CUUUACUGUAGCCUGGUAUUGGGUUCGGGCUUUGACUGCGCAGGAUAGGUGGGAGACUGAGAAGCGUGCCUUGUGGGGCACAUAGAGUCAACGGUGAGAUACCACUCUGUCAGGGCUAGAAUUCUAAACUUCACCCGUGAUCCGGGGAAGGAACCGUAUCAGGUGGGCAGUUUGACUGGGGCGGUCGCCUCCUAAAAGGUAACGGAGGCGCGCAAAGGUGUUCUCAGGCUGGUUGGAAAUCAGCCGUAGAGUGUAAAGGCAGAAGAACGCUUGACUGUGAGAGUGACAACUCAAGCAGGGUGGAAACACGGCCUUAGUGAUCCGACGGUAUGCGCGUGGAAGUGCCGUCGCUCAACGGAUAAAAGUUA